rnacentral:rRNA from 1 species
GACGUAGGUGGCGAACGUUAUCCGGAAUUAUUGGGCGUAAAGGAUGCGCAGAUGGUGUAGUAAGUUAUCGGUGGCAAAUCGAGGCUCAACCUCGUGGAAGUCGGUAAUACUGCUAUGCUAGAGGAUAGGAGAGGUUAACGGAACUCCCUGUGGAGCGGUGAAAUGCGUAGAUAUAGGGAAGAACACCAAUCAGGCGAAGGCAGUUAACUAUUCUAUUCCUGACAUUGAGGCAUGAAAGCGUGGGGAGCAAAACGG